GGGCUUGUGGUUUAGUGGUAUAAUACUCCCUUAGCACGAGAUCUCCUCCUGAGAGGAAAUCCAUGAGAUUGGGAGUGGUCCGGGGUUCGAUUCCCCGCGAGUCCA